rnacentral:lncRNA from 1 species
AGUAGUUUGAGGAUCUUGCUGCUUUCUAUAUUUAAAUGUAAAUCCUUUAUUUUCCAACUCAGUUUGAACUGCUGAUGUCAGUCUGCCCACCUGAUAUGGUUUAGGUAUGUUGAACUACAACUCCCAACAUUCCUUUGUCAGCAUCUGGAGGGCACCAGUUUGGAGAAGUCUGACUUAUACGAAUGCCUAUAUUUAAGAUAUGAGUGCUGAAUUUCUCUUAAAGUCAUUGUGAACUCAUUGUCUUUUGUUAUUUCUUGUGUGUUAUAUUUGCAAAUAUAAUAUUAAAAAGAAGUUCCUUAAAAUAUAUUAAGGUAACAAAAUAUUAUGUGCAUAGAGCAUAUUCUUGUAUCCAGGGUUCAGCCCUGACAUUUAUAGUCAAACAAAUGAAGUAGCAGAAAAUGGGAAAAUCUUUAUCUAAAACUCAUUUCAGCCUCCGCAAGAACCGGAAAUAUCAGUGGGCUGACAAUAUCAGGCAGCUUCAUGGAUUCAUUCUGUUGUGAUUUUGUUACUGCCCAAUAACUAAAGUUCUUUGGGAAGUUGGCAAAAAUAACAAACCAAAAAAACAAGAUAACAAGACAUAGUAUGCAUUUUUAAGAUGUAAAUUUUAAAAUAUAGCAUUUAACAUAUAACAAUUUCAGUAAUAUGAUAGAUCUGAUAAAUGCAGCUGACAAAUGUUCCAUGAACUGUCAUUAAAUGCCUGGGAACUGGCAGUCUUACUGUGGUGCUGAAAAUAUGAUCUUGUCCCAGGCAAGUAUCAGUGGGAAGAUUAUUCCAUAAUCAAGGUGUAACCACUGAAACAGCUCUCCCCUUGGUUUCAGCUUUCAAAGCUUCUCUCGGAGGAAGCACUCUGAGAUGUUAAGCACAGUUUCAGGGUCCAUACUGGGAGAGACACUCCUUCAGAUAACCUAUUCUGCAAUGUCUAUUGCCUUUUGCUCUUGGAUGGAAAGAAAGAAGUUCUUCUUUUUUCACUGAAGCAAUUAUGGAUCAGAAUGCAUAAACUUAAGGGGACCAUAGCCUUUGUCUUGGAGCAAAUCUCUGCCUUUCAUUUACCUCAGUGGGCUACAACCUGGUUGAAUUAUGCUAGGUUGCAGUCAGUUAUGAAUAAUCCAUAUGGAAAUACCCUUAGAAUGACACUUGUAACGGCAAGGAAUGGAGAACUGGACGUGAAACAUUGGCGUGAAUGAAGCAGGGCACAACUUCAUUAAAUGUACAUGGUGAGAUCAUCUAAUAAUCUAAAUGAGAACUGUAAGGUGAGUUUGCCUAGACAACAACUUGAGAACACUCAGUUGCUUUUCUGAGCACUCUGUACUACUUUAUAAGUGAAAACUGUAAAUUCCUUGUUUUUACAGGAAAGGGUUAUGAUUCUUUUAAAAAGUAUUUAUUUAUUUAAAACUUUUGUAUGCCGUCCUAUAUAUAAAUAUCUCAGGAUGGCUUACAGCAAUUUGGCAAGGCAUGCUGGGAACUGUAGGCCUUUUUUUCCUGUCUAAACUUGCAUAGGAUUGUGCCUUUUGAUAUACUGUGUAUAUUUUGCACUAUGCAAUAUUGCUUGCAUUUAAGUCUUAUAGAUACUUUCCAGCUUAGUUGCAAAAUACUUUCCAGCUUAGUUGUAAAAUCUUAAGUUUGAUGAAGCAAAACACGUAGAGCUGAUUUAAAAGACGAAUCAAAUUCUUUCAAGCUACCCAGUAUUUUUUAUCCGCAUAAAAUAGUCAUUUAAAUCCUAAAGCAUGCUAAUAUCAGGAGAGCCUGCA